GUGGGAAAUUAUUCAGCAAGAGAAAUGACCAGGAGCUCACUGCAUAGCUUGCAAUCCUAAUGGCCUAAGCCCAAAAUCUCCAGCCGAAUCAAAUCAAGCGGUCACUAGGUCCGGCUAGUAAACCAUAAUCAUUAAGUGCAAAUCAAACAAUCGAACCACUGAUUUAUUGACCCAAUAAUCGAACGGUUGACAACCAAUCAAUUUGACGGUCCUGAUUAUUCUUUCCCGUCCACUAUACCACAGUCCAAAAUCACUGCUCAUCUCGGUCUAAAACCAGGACGCCCUUCCGUUCCGUUCAAUCUAUUGUUUAGUAAAACCAUCUAUCGGCCAUGUACAGAAUUGCAGCUUCACGGCUUAGGUCUCUCAAGGUCCAUAGGACAGUAAGUUUCCUGCAAGGUUUGCAAGUUCAAUUUGUGCUGCUUUGAAAUCAUCUUCUUCAGGUGGUCUCUUCAGCUGGCUAACUGGUGAAAAGUCCAAUUCUUUGCCUCCUCUGGAAAUUCCCUUGAACUCCCACCCACAUUGCCUGAUUACGUCAAACCUGGGAAAUGCAACAAGCAUAAAGUCUUAUGUAAAAGUUAUAAUUCUAGGAUAGCUAGCUGUGUGGUUUUGUUGGAGACCUUUCUAAUAUCCCCAAUUGUCUACUAAUUUGCUUGUUUCUUAUAAACUUCAUGUGGUUAGAGUGAUAGCACAAUUGGAAUUGAAGUACAAGUCUUGAACUUUCAUAUAGUCAGAAACGUAUGUAUAUUAGAAGGUCUAAUUAUUCCCAUCCUAAAAAUGCCUGUGCUUUUGGAUGCAGAGUUCUGAUUCUGCAUCAAAGCCAUAGAUGUAGCAGUUGGUGAGAUAAUUGCAGUUGCUUCACUGGGUGCAGUUGACCCAAUGCAGCUAGUUCGUGCAAAACAAUCAACAAAAUCUUCAAUUUAAUUUGAAUGACUUUGCAAACCAGAGUUGUAGUUGUUUUCUUCCAUUUAUUUGAACGAAGUAUAAAUUUUGAGCAGCAGUGAUAAGGGGUUUGUUGUGUCUUGACACUUGGUUGCUUAUGUUUAAGGUGUAUUUUGCAGAUGAUUGCUUCAGAUGAUAUAGGUAGACAGAUUUUGACAUAUGAUGAGGGGUAUGGACUGAGUCAUGAACAUCUCUAUUGAUGGUGACUAGAGCAUAUCUUUUCAUAAAUUAUUGGCUAAGCAUCACUUCCUCA